rnacentral:rRNA from 1 species
GCAUAUCAAUAAGCGGAGGAAAAGAAACCAACAGGGAUUGCCUCAGUAACGGCGAGUGAAGCGGCAACAGCUCAAAUUUGAAAUCUGGCCCUAGGCCCGAGUUGUAAUUUGCAGAGGAUGCUUUUGGCGCGGUGCCUUCCGAGUUCCCUGGAACGGGACGCCAUAGAGGGUGAGAGCCCCGUCUGGUUGGACACCAAGCCUUUGUAAAGCUCCUUCGACGAGUCGAGUAGUUUGGGAAUGCUGCUCAAAAUGGGAGGUAUAUGUCUUCUAAAGCUAAAUACCGGCCAGAGACCGAUAGCGCACAAGUAGAGUGAUCGAAAGAUGAAAAGCACUUUGGAAAGAGAGUUAAACAGCACGUGAAAUUGUUAAAAGGGAAGCGUUUAUGACCAGACUUGGGCCGGUUAAUCAUCCAGCGUUCUCGCUGGUGCACUUUGCCGGUCCAGGCCAGCAUCAGUUCGCUGCGGGGGAUAAAGGCGUAGGGAAUGUGGCUCCUCGGAGUGUUAUAGCCCUUCGCGUAAUACCCUGCGGUGGACUGAGGUUCGCGCUCUGCAAGGAUGCUGGCGUAAUGGUCAUCAACGACCCGUCUUGAAACACGGACCAAGGAGUCGUCUUCGUAUGCGAGUGUUCGGGUGUAAAACCCCUACGCGUAAUGAAAGUGAACGCAGGUGAGAGCUUCGGCGCAUCAUCGACCGAUCCUGAUGUUCUCGGAUGGAUUUGAGUAAGAGCAUACGGGGCCGGACCCGAAAGAAGGUGAACUAUGCCUGUAUAGGGUGAAGCCAGAGGAAACUCUGGUGGAGGCUCGCAGCGGUUCUGACGUGCAAAUCGAUCGUCAAAUAUGGGCAUGGGGGCGAAAGACUAAUCGAACCUUCUAGUAGCUGGUUUCCGCCGAA